rnacentral:rRNA from 1 species
GACGAACGCUGGCGGCGUGCUUAACACAUGCAAGUCGAACGGUGACCUUGAGAGCUUGCUCUUGAGUGAUCAGUGGCGAACGGGUGAGUAACACGUGAGGAACCUGCCCCAGACUCUGGAAUAACCCCGGGAAACCGGAGCUAAUAACGGAUAAGACACGCCCUCGCAUGGGGAGCGCGUGGAAAGUUUUUUGGUCUGUGGAUGGCCUCGCGGCAUAUCAGCUUGUUGGUGAGGUAAUGGCUCACCAAGGCGACGACGGGUAGCCGGCCUGAGGGGGCGACCGGGCACACUGGGAGUGCGACACAGCCCAGACUCCUACGGGAGGCAGCAGUGGGGAAUAUUGCACAAUGGGCGCAAGCCUGAUGCAGCAACGCCGCGUGAGGGACGACGGCCUUCGGGUUGUAAACCUCUUUUAGCAGGGAAGAAGCGAAAGUGACGGUACCUGCAGAAAAAGCACCGGCUAACUACGUGCCAGCCGCCGCCGUAAUAC